ensembl:snoRNA SNORD18 Small nucleolar RNA SNORD18
CUCUGCUGAUGAUACUCCACUUCAAGGUCCGUGUUUCUGAUUCCACUGAUAACUCUGGAAGUUCUGAUGAG